rnacentral:rRNA from 1 species
GACGAACGCUGGCGGCGUGCUUAACACAUGCAAGUCGAGCGGUAAGGCCCUUUCGGGGGUACACGAGCGGCGAACGGGUGAGUAACACGUGGGUGACCUGCCUCUAGCUCUGGGAUAAGCCUGGGAAGCUGGGUCUAAUACCGGAUAUGACCUCGCGGUGCAUGUUGCGGGGUGGAAAGCCUUGUGCGGCUAGGGAUGGGCCCGCGGCCUAUCAGCUUGUUGGUGGGGUGAUGGCCUACCAAGGCGACGACGGGUAGCCGGCCUGAGAGGGCGACCGGCCACACUGGGACUGAGACACGGCCCAGACUCCUACGGGAGGCAGCAGUGGGGAAUCUUGCGCAAUGGGCGAAAGCCUGACGCAGCGACGCCGCGUGAGGGAUGACGGCCUCGGUUGUAA